rnacentral:lncRNA from 1 species
UUAUCUCUGGCUAGCUUUCACUCUGGAGAACCCAUGACUUCCUCGUUAAUCAUGUGACUGUGAAAUCUCGCGAGAGCACGUCGCAGUCUGAGGCAUGUACAAUACUUCAGAGCACACAGGAGUACUGUUUGAAGCUGCAGUAUUUUUUAGACCUAUACCCUUUUACUUUUAUAAUUUCUGAAGUUAUAUAUCCUCUUAAAGCUCAGUUCUUCCACGAGACUGUCAUUUCACGCAUGCUCACUUCUUGUCUGCUUGUGGUAAGCUUUCAGUAAACCCCUAGAAGUGUAUGCAAAUGUUUCCAAGUCGAACUUAAAGCAAGGGAAAGUAAUAUCUGAACUAGUUUCAUUAGUAAAUUCCUGAUUUAAAGAAAAAAAAGACUUUAAGUACGUAUAAAAUAACAACAAUCAUUGUAGAAGAAAAUGGUUAGUUUAUUACAAGAUGUAUCCUCAGAGCUGCAUACUGCAUGCAGUCAGCACAUAAUGAGUUGUGAUGUAAUGCCCUGAAGGUAGGAGGGGCUUAAUCUAAAUGACUUCUCAAUGGGGCCCCUCUUCUACGUCAUAUAAGAUGCUCAUGCUCUUUAAGGUCAUUGAACUACUCAGAAGGAUUGGUUGGAAAGCGUCAACUCAUCCACACCAAUUGGGAAACUCACUCUUGAACAGAAGGAUAGCAGCAAGCGUAAAAAGGAAGAUUUACAAGAUGGUACUGAGAAGUUAUGGUGUAUGGUCUGGAGACUGUGGCACUGAUGCUCAUUGGGAGUGACCAGAAUGGACAAGAUUAGACAUUAGUAUGUCAGAGGGAUAGCUCAGGUGGAGUGCUUUGGAGAUAAAGGAGGGUGCAGAUGGUUUGGAGUUCACAGGAGGCGUAGUGGAUAUGUUGGACAAAAGAUUUUGAAUAUGAAGCUGCCAGAGAGGAGGAAAAGAGGAAGACCACAGAGGAGGUUCAUGGAUGUAGUGAAGGAAGAUAUGCAGAGAAGAGAUGAGGGAAGAUGAGCUGAUGUGGCCACGCCUAAACGGAGCAGCCAAAAAAAAGACGGACAAAAACAAAAGUUGCUAAAGUUAUUGAGUGGUAUGUUGUUACAUUGCUCUGCUGUAAUAACAAUGUAAUAAUGAAGAUUUUGGCAACUCCAUUAAUGGACUUUGAAGAUUAAGUAAGAAAUUCUAGAUAAAUUUGAUUACAGCUCUUCUCAGAGGGUCAGCAGAAAAUAAAGGAAAUAAGGUAUGUUGACCUUAAUAAAGCUGCAAAUAUGAGGAA